rnacentral:rRNA from 1 species
CCGANUGGGCCCUCUNGAAUGCAUGCAUCGAGCUCCNNNCUCANCUGAGANGNAAAUAUCUGCAGANUUCCCCCUUAGAGUUNGAUCCUGGCUCAGAAUGAACGUUGGCGGCGUGGAUUAGGCAUGCAAGUCGAGCGCGAAUCAGUCUUCGGACUGAGGAGAGCGGCGAACGGGGUAGGAAUACCUCGGUGACGUACCCCCGGGUCGGGGAUAGCGGCGGGAAACUGCCGGUAAUACCCGAUAAUCUUCCCAAGUCUUACGGCAGGGGAAGCAAAGGUGUGAUUCCGUCUGGGGAGCGGCUGAGGUCGUAUUAGCUGGUUGGUGAGGUNAUGGCUCACCAAGGCGAUGAUGCGUAGGGGGUGUGAGAGCAUGGCCCCCACCACUGGCACUGAGACACUGGCCAGACACCUACGGGUGGCUGCAGUCGAGAAUCUUCGGCAAUGGGCGCAAGCCUGACCGAGCGACGCCGCGUGCGGGAUGAAGGUCUUCGGAUUGUAAACCGCUGUCGGAGGGGAUGAAGUGCAGGUGGGUACUCCCACCUGUUUGACAGAGCCUCGGAGGAAGCACGGGCUAAGUUCGUGCCAGCAGCCGCGGUAAUACGAACUGUGCGAACGUUAUUCGGAAUCNCUGGGCUUUAAGGGUGCGUAGGCGGCGGCUCCGUCAGGUNUGAAUCCCCGGCUCAACCGGGAACNNNCUUGAACUAGUCNCUCANUGAGCAGGGUGCAUGNACUUCCGGGNACCGUNAAUNUUUAAAAUCGAAAGA